AGAGUUUGAUCCUGGCUCAGCCUGAACGCUGGCGGCGUGGUUAAGACAUGCAAGUCGCACGGGCGUAGCAAUACGUCAGUGGCGAACGGGUGAGUAAUGAAUCGCUAAUGUGCCCCGGACUCUGGGAUAGCCAUCCGAAAGGAUGGGUAAUACCAGAUGACAUAUCCCUACCGCAUGGUGGGGGAUCUCAAAGGUCCGCCGGUCUGGGAGCAGGCGAUUUCGUAUCAGCUAGUUGGUGAGGUAACGGCUCACCAAGGCGACGACGCGUAGCCGGACUGAGAGGUUGGCCGGCCACAUCGGGACUGAGACACUGCCCGGACUCCUACGGGGGGCUGCAGUAACGAAUCUUCCCCAAUGCACGAAAGUGUGAGGGAGCGACGCCGCGUGUGGGACGAAGUCCUUCGGGAUGUAAACCACUGUCAGGGGAUACCAAGUUCUGAGGAUCCCCAGAGGAAGGGGCGGCUAACUCUGUGCCAGCAGCCGCGGUAAU
rnacentral:rRNA from 1 species